rnacentral:rRNA from 1 species
UGGGGAAUUUUGGACAAUGGGGGAAACCCUGAUCCAGCCAUCCCGCGUGUGCGAUGAAGGCCUUCGGGUUGUAAAGCACUUUUGGCAGGAAAGAAACGUCAUGGGUUAAUACCCCGUGAAACUGACGGUACCUGCAGAAUAAGCACCGGCUAACUACGUGCCAGCAGCCGCGGUAAUACGUAGGGUGCAAGCGUUAAUCGGAAUUACUGGGCGUAAAGCGUGCGCAGGCGGUUCGGAAAGAAAGAUGUGAAAUCCCAGAGCUCAACUUUGGAACUGCAUUUUCAACUACCGGGCUAGAGUGUGUCAGAGGGAGGUGGAAUUCCGCGUGUAGCAGUGAAAUGCGUAGAUAUGCGGAGGAACACCGAUAGCGAAGGCAGCCUCCUGGGAUAACACUGACGCUCAUGCACGAAAGCGUGGGGAGCAAACAGG